CCGGGCCCGCAGCAGGCGAAUCCACGCGGCCCGAGCCUCAGGAAUCACUUCCGGGUCACCCCGUUAUGCGUAAGCCUGUCAUACACCCCAGCCAAUCGGGCACCCCAGCCAAUCGGGAAAUGAAGUCUCUGACUCAGACCAAUCGUUGACGCUCAGACCCUUAAAUACAGGCCAAACGGGGCGGAGUCUCGGCCGGAGGGCGGAGCGGAUAGGGGCCGGGGCCCAGGGGGAGGCGGGGCCUGGUGAGGGCGGGAAGUGACUAGGACACUGGCUCCCGCUGGUCUGAGAGUCCGCCUCACCGGUACUGGGAGCGGCGAAGGAGGCAGUACCUGCGGGGGCGAAACCAGGUCUCAGGACUGGACCCUUCCUUGAGGGGCGGGGUCUGCGGCCGAGCGGAAGAAUGGUGAAUCCAAACCGCGGUAGAAUCUGAUCGUCAGAUGGUCCUGGGCGAAGUGCCGCCGGUGCCGAGGUUGAGGUAAAGCUUCACGCUGCCAAGGGCCUCUUCCGUUCUCACACAGUUUCUCACACUCUUUGUGGCCCCACUCACACUGAGCGCCUGUCUUCCCGCAGGGAUCUGCUCAAAUGUUACCCACGGGAGAGGUUCCCCUGCCACGCCCCCUGCCACGCCAUCUAAAACUGCAGUCCCCACCCACUCCCACCCGCGCCCCCGACCCCUUUGUUUUCCUCCCAGUUCCUACUGCUGCCAGGCGUGCCGCACAAUCCCCCGGCCUCGCGGAGAUGCCCGAGUGGAGAGGGAGAGGAGAACAUGAGGAUUGAAGGAGAUCCUGCCAGGAAAGCCCCCAGGCUGCCCUUCUGCUUCUGCUGGUGGCAUGAAGGUUCCCUCCCGGGGCCUGAGCUUUAGAGGGCCCGGGUGAGGGGUGAAGAAUCUAGGAGCCCGAGGCCUGGAAGUCAGCUCCCCACCCCCAACCCUCCAGGUACGGGAAUUCUAUGCUCAGUUGGUGCGGAGUCCAUUAGCAGGGCCUGCGUAGCCCUCUCCCCCAGUCUGCUCUUCAGAGGGAAGGCCAUCCCUGUAGAUCUGAAGGGCGGCCAAGGUGUGGGUCGGUAGGUUGUGGACAGAGUGUGAACAUUUGGCUUGGGGCGUCCACACAUGUGCAAGUGGGUCCCUCACUGUCAGAACAGAGAGGCGUGGGUAGGAAUAGAAGAGGGGGGAUCGAAAGCUCCAUUUGUACUCUUGCCCUGAACCUCUCCAAUGUGAGAGGUGGGCCUGCUUCUUUUCUUCUUUCUCUCUCUCUUUUUAAAAAAUUUUUAUUUUUUGAGAGAGAGAGAAAGAGCGAGCUUGUGAGCAGGGGAGAGGGGCAGAGAGAGAGAGAGAAAGAGAGAGAGAGAGAAUCCUAAGAAAGCUCCACACUUAGCUUGGAGCCCGCCACGGGGCUCGAUUCCAUGACCCUGGGAUCAUGACCUUGUAAGGGUUAAAUUGUAGUAUAGGGCUUCACGCUUAGCUUGAAAAAUAACAGCUUUGUGUUGACACUGAAGGUGAAGAGAUAACAGUCUUGCUUUACUCUUUACGCCUUAUACUCUUGUAAAUU
ensembl:lncRNA